GACGAACGCUGGCGGCGUGCUUAACACAUGCAAGUCGAACGGAAAGGCCCUGCUUGCAGGGUACUCGAGUGGCGAACGGGUGAGUAACACGUGGGUGAUCUGCCCUGCACUUCGGGAUAAGCCUGGGAAACUGGGUCUAAUACCGGAUAGGAGCCAUUUUUAGUGUGAUGGUUGGAAAGUUUUUUCGGUGUAGGAUGAGCUCGCGGCCUAUCAGCUUGUUGGUGGGGUAAUGGCCUACCAAGGCGGCGACGGGUAGCCGGCCUGAGAGGGUGGACGGCCACGGGGUGACGGAGAGACGGCCCACGCGCCUAACAGCGGCAGCAGGGGGGUAUAGUGAGCAGUGGUCGCAUGUCGGUGGCAGCUGCGCCGUGUGGGGGCGGGCGGCCUUCGGGUUAUACACUCGUUUCUCGGGCGCGGAUAUUUUUGGUGACGAUAAAGAAAUACGAUGCACCGGCUAACUACCCGCCAGCGGCGGGCUUAGUGGCCGACGCGCACCCGUGUGAGC
rnacentral:rRNA from 1 species